ACGUAGGUGGCAAGCGUUAUCCGGAUUUAUUGGGCGUAAAGCGAGCGCAGGCGGUUGCUUAGGUCUGAUGUGAAAGCCUUCGGCUUAACCGAAGAAGUGCAUCGGAAACCGGGCGACUUGAGUGCAGAAGAGGACAGUGGAACUCCAUGUGUAGCGGUGGAAUGCGUAGAUAUAUGGAAGAACACCAGUGGCGAAGGCGGCUGUCUGGUCUGCAACUGACGCUGAGGCUCGAAAGCAUGGGUAGCGAACAG
rnacentral:rRNA from 1 species